GAUGAAGAACGUAGCGAAAUGUGAUAAGUAAUGUGAAUUGCAGAAUUCAGUGAAUCAUCGAGUUUUUGAACGCAUAUUGCGCCCUCUGGUAUUCCGGGGGGCAUGCCUGUUCGAGCGUCAUUAAAUAACCCUCAAGCAUAGCUUGGUGUUGGGCUUUUUUACGUCCUUGACUGGGAUGGGCCUAAAAAUUAGUGGCGAUGGCUUUUUUACUUUCAAGCGUAGUAAAUCUCGUCUUGCUAAAGAGGAAAAAGAUUUUUUUUCUGCCAAAAAUUUUAACAUUUAAAGUUGACCUCGGAUCAGGUAGGAUUACCCGCUGAACUUAAGCAUAUCAAUAAGCGGAGGA
rnacentral:misc_RNA from 1 species